UCCAAGUAAUGGCACUCUUUGGGAUCUUUGCCAGGGAACAUUUAAAUACAUUAUCAAUGGCAAAUACUGUUUUCUAUGCUUGUUUUCACUUAAUAUUUUUUUGUUUUGAUCUUAUUGCAGUCAGAAAACAUAUGUUGGCCGAUCAAAACCCUUGCGGGUGAUGUUGCUUUCUCUCCCCAAGUKGUACGAGAAAAUAACGGAAAACUGACCCAAGAUCAGUACUGUACAUAUGCAACUUCAACCCAAUGUAAUGCGGAGCGCGUUGCAGCUCGUCAACACAAUCGGCUGCAGGGGAGAAUCUGUGUAAUUUGACCUACAACACAAAUGCGCAUCAUGACUUCAACAAAGAAGACAACUUGGAACGUACCCGAUCCUCCCAUGCGAUCAUUCUCUUUCCCGCUCCAAAGAAAGACCCUCCACACCUACCACCCGUCUCCUCAGACCUACACCUACCACCCGUCUCCUCAGACCUACACCUACCACCCUUCUCCUCAGACCUACACCUACCACCCCUUC